CAGUCGCCGCGGUAAGGCAUAGGAUGCAAGCGUUGUCCGGAAUUAUUGGGCGUAAAGGGCUCGCAGGCGGUUUCUUAAGUCUGAUGUGAAAGCCCCCGGCUCAACCGGGGAGGGUCAUUGGAAACUGGGAAACUUGAGUGCAGAAGAGGAGAGUGGAAUUCCACGUGUAGCGGUGAAAUGCGUAGAGAUGUGGAGGAACACCAGUGGCGAAGGCGACUCUCUGGUCUGUAACUGACGCUGAGGAGCGAAAGCGUGGGGAGCGAACAGGAUUAGAUACCCCUGUAGUCCCUGUCUCUUAUAA
rnacentral:rRNA from 1 species